AGUGAACGCUGGCGGUAGGCCUAACACAUGCAAGUCGAACGGCAGCACAGUAAGAGCUUGCUCUUACGGGUGGCGAGUGGCGGACGGGUGAGGAAUACAUCGGAAUCUACUUUUUCGUGGGGGAUAACGUAGGGAAACUUACGCUAAUACCGCAUACGACCUACGGGUGAAAGCAGGGGAUCUUCGGACCUUGCGCGAUUGAAUGAGCCGAUGUCGGAUUAGCUAGUUGGCGGGGUAAAGGCCCACCAAGGCGACGAUCCGUAGCUGGUCUGAGAGGAUGAUAAGCCACACUGGAACUGAGACACGGUCCAGACUCCUACGAGAGGCAGCAGUGGGGAAUAUUGGACAAUGGGCGCAAGCCUGAACAAGCCAUACCGCGUGGGUGAAGGAGGCCUUCGGGUUGUGAAGCCCUUUUGUGGGGAAAGAAAAGCAGCAGCUUAAUACCCCGCUGUUAUGACGGUACCCAAAGAAUAAGCACCGGCUAACUUCGUG
rnacentral:rRNA from 1 species